GAUGAACGCUGGCGGCGUGCCUAAUACAUGCAAGUCGAGCGAACAGAUGAGGAGCUUGCUCCUCUGACGUUAGCGGCGGACGGGUGAGUAACACGUGGAUAACCUACCUAUAAGACUGGGAUAACUUCGGGAAACCGGAGCUAAUACCGGAUAAUAUAUUGAACCGCAUGGUUCAAUAGUGAAAGACGGUUUUGCUGUCACUUAUAGAUGGAUCCGCGCCGCAUUAGCUAGUUGGUAAGGUAACGGCUUACCAAGGCAACGAUGCGUAGCCGACCUGAGAGGGUGAUCGGCCACACUGGAACUGAGACACGGUCCAGACUCCUACGGGAGGCCGCAGUAGGGAAUCUUCCGCAAUGGGCGAAAGCCUGACGGAGCAACGCCGCGUGAGUGAUGAAGGUCUUCGGAUCGUAAAACUCUGUUAUUAGGGAAGAACAAAUGUGUAAGUAACUAUGCACGUCUUGACGGUACCUAAUCAGAAAGCCACGGCUAACUACGUG
rnacentral:rRNA from 1 species